UACGUAGGUGACAAGCGUUGUCCGGAUUUACUGGGCGUAAAGAGCGCGCAGGCGGUCGAUCAAGUCGAGUGUGAAAGCCCCCGGCUCAACUGGGGAGGGUCAUUCGAUACUGAUCGACUCGAAGGCAGGAGAGGGUAGUGGAAUUCCCGGUGUAGUGGUGAAAUGCGUAGAUAUCGGGAGGAACACCAGUGGCGAAGGCGGCUUCCUGGACCAGUACCGACGUUCAGGCACGAAAGCGUGGGGAGCAAACAGG
rnacentral:rRNA from 1 species